rnacentral:rRNA from 1 species
AUUCCAGCUCCAAUAGCGUAUAUUAAAGUUGUUGCGGUUAAAAAGCUCGUAGUUGGAUUUCUGCCGAGGAUGACCGGUCCGCCCUGUGGGUGUGCAUCUGGCUCAGCCUUGGCAUCUUCCUGAAGAACGUAGCUGCACUUGACUGUGUGGUGCGGUAUUUAGGACAUUUACUUUGAGGAAAUUAGAGUGUUUCAAGCAAGCGCACGCUUUGAAUACAUUAGCAUGGAAUAAUAAGAUAGGACCUCGGUUCUGUUUUGUUGGUUUGCAUACCAAAUUAAUGAUCGACAGGAACAGUUUGAGGAUAUUCGUAUGAACAUGUCAGAGGUGAAAUUCUUGGAUUUUGAUCAGACGAACUACUGCGAAAGCAUUUAUCAAGGAUGUUUUCAUUG